rnacentral:rRNA from 1 species
AACGAACGCUGGCGGCAUGCCUAACACAUGCAAGUCGAACGCGUGGUUUCGGCCACGAGUGGCGCACGGGUGAGUAGCGCGUGGGAACCUGCCUUUGGGUUCGGGAUAACCGCGGGAAACUGCGGCUAAUACCGGAUGUCCCCUACGGGGGAAAGAUUUAUCGCCCGAAGAGGGGCCCGCGUCCGAUUAGGUAGUUGGUGAGGUAACGGCUCACCAAGCCUUCGAUCGGUAGCUGGUCUGAGAGGAUGAUCAGCCACACUGGGACUGAGACACGGCCCAGACUCCUACGGGAGGCAGCAGUGGGGAAUAUUGGACAAUGGGGGCAACCCUGAUCCAGCAAUGCCGCGUGAGUGAUGAAGGCCUUCGGGUUGUAAAGCUCUUUCGCCCACGACGAUGGUGACGGUAGUGGGAGAAGGAGCCCCGGCUAACUUCGUGCCAGCAGCCGCAGUAA